rnacentral:rRNA from 1 species
GGGGAAAGGGGAACUGCUCCUGAUGUUAGCGGCGGACGGGUGAGUAACACGUGGGUAACCUGCCUGUAAGACUGGGAUAACUCCGGGAAACCGGGGCUAAUACCGGAUGCUUGUUUGAACCGCAUGGUUCAGACAUAAAAGGUGGCUUCGGCUACCACUUACAGAUGGACCCGCGGCGCAUUAGCUAGUUGGUGAGGUAACGGCUCACCAAGGCGACGAUGCGUAGCCGACCUGAGAGGGUGAUCGGCCACACUGGGACUGAGACACGGCCCAGACUCCUACGGGAGGCAGCAGUAGGGAAUCUUCCGCAAUGGACGAAAGUCUGACGGAGCAACGCCGCGUGAGUGAUGAAGGUUUUCGGAUCGUAAAGCUCUGUUGUUAGGGAAGAACAAGUGCCGUUCAAAUAGGGCGGCACCUUGACGGUACCUAACCAGAAAGCCACGGCUAACUACGUGCCAGCAGCCGCGGUAAUACGUAGGUGGCAAGCGUUGUCCGGAAUUAUUGGGCGUAAAGGGCUCGCAGGCGGUUUCUUAAGUCUGAUGUGAAAGCCCCCGGCUCAACCGGGGAGGGUCAUUGGAAACUGGGGAACUUGAGUGCAGAAGAGGAGAGUGGAAUUCCACGUGUAGCGGUGAAAUGCGUAGAGAUGUGGAGGAACACCAGUGGCGAAGGCGACUCUCUGGUCUGUAACUGACGCUGAGGAGCGAAAGCGUGGGGAGCGAACAGGAUUAGAUACCCUGGUAGUCCACGCCGUAAACGAUGAGUGCUAAGUGUUAGGGGGUUUCCGCCCCUUAGUGCUGCAGCUAACGCAUUAAGCACUCCGCCUGGGGAGUACGGUCGCAAGACUGAAACUCAAAGGAAUUGACGGGGGCCCGCACAAGCGGUGGAGCAUGUGGUUUAAUUCGAAGCAACGCGAAGAACCUUACCAGGUCUUGACAUCCUCUGACAAUCCUAGAGAUAGGACGUCCCCUUCGGGGGCAGAGUGACAGGUGGUGCAUGGUUGUCGUCAGCUCGUGCCUUGAGAAGUUGGGUUAAGUCCCGCAACGAGCGCAACCC